rnacentral:rRNA from 1 species
CUCCAGACUCCUACGGGAGGCAGCAGUGGGGGAUAUUGCACAAUGGGGGAAACCCUGAUGCAGCGACGCCGCGUGAGCGAUGAAGUAUCUCGGUAUGUAAAGCUCUAUCAGCAGGGAAGAAAGUGACAGUACCUGACUAAGAAGCCCCGGCUAACUACGUGCCAGCAGCCGCGGUAAUACGUAGGGGGCAAGCGUUAUCCGGAUUUACUGGGUGUAAAGGGAGCGUAGACGGCAGUGCAAGUCUGGAGUGAAAGGCGGGGGCUCAACCCCCGGACUGCUCUGGAAACUGUACGGCUGGAGUGCAGGAGAGGUAAGUGGAAUUCCUGGUGUAGCGGUGAAAUGCGUAGAUAUUAGGAGGAACACCAGUGGCGAAGGCGGCUUACUGGACUGUAACUGACGUUGAGGCUCGAAAGCGUGGGGAGCAAACAGGAUUAGAUACCCGUGUAAG